CGAAAUUCCUUGUCAGGUAAGUUCUGACCCGCACGAAAGGCGUAAUGAUUUGGGCGCUGUCUCAACCAUGGACUCGGUGAAAUCUUAAUACCUGUGAAAAUGCAGGUUACCCGCGACAGGACGGAAAGACCCCAUGGAGCUUUACUGUAGCUUGAUAUUGGAAUCAGGCAAUGUAUGUAGAGGAUAGGUGGUAGACUAUGAAGUAUAGACGCCAGUUUAUACAGAGUCGCCCUUGGAAUACCACCCUUACGUUGUUUGAUUUCUAACUUGUUCCCGUGAUCCGGGAAGAGGACAGUGUCUGGUGGGCAGUUUGACUGGGGCGGUCGCCUCCCAAAAAGUAACGGAGGCGCCCAAAGGUUCCCUCAGAUUGGUCGGAAAUCAAUCAAAGAGUGUAUUGGUAUAAGGGAGCUUAACUGCGAGACCAACAAGUCGAGCAGGUGCGAAAGCAGGGCAAAGUGAUCAGGCGGUAGAGAAUGGAAUUGCCGUCGCUUAACGGAUAAAAGUUACCCUGGGGAUAACAGGCUGAUACCACCCAAUAGUUCACAUAGACGGUGGUGAUUGGCACCUCGAUGUCGGCUCGUCACAUCCUGGAGGUGGAUUCGCUUCCAAGGGUUGGGCUGUUCGCCCAUUAAAGUGGCACGCGAGCUGGGUUCAGAACGUCGUGAGACAGUUCGGUCCCUAUCCGUCGUGGGCGCAGGAAAAUUGAGGAGAGCUGAUCCUAGUACGAGAGGACCGGAUUGGACACACCUCUGGUGUAUCUGUUGUAACGCCAGUUGCAGUGCAGAGUAUCUAUGUGUGGAAGGGAUAAUCGCUGAAAGCAUCUAAGCGAGAAGCCUCCUCCAAGAUGAAUUUUCCCAUAUUUAAUAUAGUAAGUAUCCUUGUAGACUACGAGGUUGAUAGGCUAGAGGUGGAAGCGUAGUGAUACGUUGAGCUGACUAGUACUAAUAAUACGAGGAUUUAAUCC
rnacentral:rRNA from 1 species